GAUGAAGAACGCAGCGAAAUGCGAUAAGUAGUGUGAAUUGCAGAAUUCCGUGAAUCAUCGAAUCUUUGAACGCACAUUGCGCCCCCUGGUAUUCCGGGGGGCAUGCCUGUCCGAGCGUCAUUGCUGCCCUCAAGCACGGCUUGUGUGUUGGGCCUCCGUCCUCCUCCCGGGGGACGGGCCCGAAAGGCAGCGGCGGCACCGCGUCCGGUCCUCGAGCGUAUGGGGCUUCGUCACCCGCUCUUGUAGGCCCGGCCGGCGCUUGCCGACACAUCAAUCUUUUUUCCAGGUUGACCUCGGAUCAGGUAGGGAUACCCGCUGAACUUAAGCAUAUCAAUAAGCGGAGGA
rnacentral:misc_RNA from 1 species